rnacentral:miRNA from 1 species
CAAAAAUUUUAAUUUAUCAAUUAAAUUGUUAGAAUUCAAUGUAUAAUAUAAAUUAUUGAAUAAAGACAUUAAGAAUAUAUAUAUAUAUAUUCUUAAUGUCUUUAUUCAAUAAUUUAUAUUAUACAUUGAAUUCUAACAAUUUAAUUGAUAAAUUAAAAUUUUUG